rnacentral:rRNA from 1 species
UACAGAGGCCUCAAGCGUUUGUUCGGAAUUACUGGGCGUAAAGGGAAUGUAGGUGGUCAAGUAAGUCAGAUGUGAAAGCCCUGGGACUUAACCCGGGAAGUGCAUUUGGAUACUGUUUGGCUGGAGUGCAGGAGAGGAAAGCGGAAUUCCCGGUGUAGGGGUGAAAUGCGCAGAUAUCAGGAGGAACAACCAAUGGCGAAGGCAGCACUCUGGGACGUGACUGACGCUGA